CUAGUACGAGAGGACCGGGAAGGACGCACCUCUGGUGUACCAGUUAUCGUGCCUACGGUAAACGCUGGGUAGCCAAGUGCGGAGAGGAUAACUGCUGAAAGCAUAUAAGUAGUAAGCCCACCCCAAGAUGAGUGCUCUCUCCUCCGACUUCCCUAGAGCCUCCGGUAUCACAGCCGAGACAGCGACGGGUUCUCCACCCAU
rnacentral:rRNA from 1 species